rnacentral:rRNA from 1 species
CCUACGGGUGGCAGCAGUGGGGGAUAUUGCACAAUGGGGGAAACCCUGAUGCAGCGACGCCGCGUGUGGGAAGACGGUCCUCUGGAUUGUAAACCACUGUCCCCAGGGACGAAGAUGACGGUACCUGGGGAGGAAGCUCCGGCUAACUACGAGCCAGCAGCCGCGGUAAUACGUAGGGAGCGAGCGUUGUCCGGAAUUACUGGGUGUAAAGGGAGCGUAGGCGGGACAGCAAGUCGGGUGUAAAAUCUACCGGCUCAAGCGGUAGCCGCACUCAAAACUGCUGUUCUUGAGUGAAGUAGAGGCAGGCGGAAUGCGUGGUGUAGCGGUGAAAUGCGUAGAUAUUAGGAGGAACACCAGUUGCGAAGGCGGCCUGCUGGGCUUUUACUGACGCUGAGGCUCGAAAGUGUGGGGAGCGAACAGGAUUAGAUACCCGAGUAGUC